GCUCUCGCGUCGAAGCUACCUCUAUGGUUUUCCUCCCGUUCUUGAGUCGGGAGAUGGCCGCUGUGUAGUUACCACGGAGCUAAGUCCCGGCAACCGUCCUUUGGCGUGUCAGGAAUUUAAAUUCUCAGAAUAUUCUCUCCAGAAGAAUUUUACAUUAUUUCGAAGAUUCUCAACAUUGACUGCUUGAUCCUACAUAAAAUUUAAGGAGAAAGAAAUGGGUCGCUCCAAUUCUAGAUCUCAUUCUUCAAGGUCAAAGUCUAGAUCACAGUCUAGUUCUCGAUCAAGAUCAAGAUCCCAUUCUAGAAAGAAGAGAUACAGUUCUAGGUCUCGUUCCAGGACGUAUUCAAGAUCUCGUAGUAGAGAUCGUAUUUAUUCUAGAGAUUAUCGCCGAGAUUACAGAAAUAAUAGAGGAAUGAGACGACCAUAUGGGUAUAGAGGAAGGGGUAGAGGAUAUUAUCAAGGAGGAGGAGGUAGAUAUCAUCGAGGUGGCUACAGACCUGUCUGGAAUAGAAGACACUCUAGGAGCCCUAGACGAGGCCGAUCACGUUCCAGGAGUCCAAAAAGAAGAUCUGUUUCUUCUCAAAGAUCCCGAAGCAGAUCUCGACGAUCAUAUAGAUCCUCCAGGUCUCCAAGAUCAUCCUCUUCUCGUUCUUCAUCCCCAUAUAGCAAAUCUCCUGUCUCUAAAAGACGAGGGUCUCAGGAAAAGCAAACCAAAAAGGCUGAAGGGGAGCCCCAAGAAGAGAGUCCUUUGAAAAGUAAAUCACAGGAGGAACCGAAAGAUACCUUUGAACAUGACCCAUCUGAAUCUAUUGAUGAAUUUAAUAAGUCAUCAGCUACUUCUGGUGAUAUCUGGCCUGGCCUUUCAGCUUAUGAUAAUAGUCCCAGAUCACCCCAUAGUCCUUCACCGAUUGCUACUCCACCUAGUCAGAGUUCAUCUUGUUCUGAUGCUCCCAUGCUCAGUACAGUACACUCUGCAAAAAACACCCCUUCUCAGCAUUCACAUUCCAUUCAACAUAGUCCUGAAAGAUCUGGGUCAGGUUCUGUUGGAAAUGGAUCUAGUCGAUACAGUCCUUCUCAGAAUAGUCCAAUUCAUCACAUCCCUUCACGAAGAAGCCCUGCAAAGACAAUCACACCGCAGAAUGCUGCAAGAGAUGAAGCUAGGGGACGUUCCUCAUUUUAUCCAGAUGGGGGAGAUCAGGAAACUGCAAAGACAGGAAAAUUCUUAAAAAGGUUCACAGAUGAAGAGUCUAGAGUAUUCCUGCUUGAUAGGGGUAAUACCAGGGAUAAAGAGGCUCCAAAGGAGAAAGGAUCAGAGAAAGGGAGGGCAGAGGGAGAAUGGGAAGAUCAGGAAGUUCUAGAUUAUUUCAGUGAUAAAGAAUCUGGAAAACAAAAGUUUAAUGAUUCAGAAGGGGAUGACACAGAGGAGACAGAGGAUUAUAGACAAUUCAGGAAAUCAGUUCUUGCAGAUCAGGGUAAAAAUUUUGCUACCACAUCUCAUCGGAAUACUGAGGAGGAAGGACCCAAGUACAAGUCCAAAGUUUCACUGAAAGGCAAUAGAGAAAGUGAUGGAUUUAGAGAAGAAAAAAAUUAUAAGCUUAAAGAGACUGGAUAUGUAGUGGAAAGGCCUAGCACUACAAAAGAUAAGCACAAGGAAGACGACAAAAAUUCUGAGAGAAUAACAGUAAAGAAAGAAACUCAGUCACCUGAGCAGGUAAAGUCUGAAAAGCUCAAAGACCUCUUUGAUUACAGUCCCCCUCUACACAAGAAUCUGGAUGCACGAGAAAAGUCUACCUUCAGAGAGGAGAGCCCACUUAGGAUCAAAAUGAUAGCCAGUGAUUCUCAUCGUCCUGAAGUCAAACUCAAAAUGGCACCUGUUCCUCUUGAUGAUUCUAACAGACCUGCUUCCUUGACUAAAGACAGGCUACUUGCUAGUACACUUGUCCAUUCUGUCAAGAAGGAGCAAGAAUUCCGAUCCAUCUUUGACCACAUUAAGUUGCCACAGGCCAGCAAAAGCACUUCAGAAUCAUUUAUUCAACACAUUGUAUCCUUGGUUCAUCAUGUUAAAGAGCAAUACUUCAAAUCAGCUCCAAUGACCCUAAACGAGAGGUUCACUUCAUAUCAAAAAGCCACCGAAGAACAUAGUACCCGGCAAAAGAGCCCUGAGAUUCACAGGAGAAUUGACAUCUCUCCAAGUGCCCUGAGGAAGCAUACCCGCUUAGCAGGGGAAGAGAGAGUUUUUAAAGAAGAUAAUCAAAAGGGAGAUAAAAAAUUAAGGUGUGAUUCUGCUGAUCUUCGGCAUGACAUUGAUCGUCGGAGAAAAGAAAGAAGUAAAGAACGUGGGGAUUCCAAGGGCUCCAGGGAAUCCAGUGGAUCAAGAAAGCAGGAAAAACCUCCAAAAGAUUACAAGGAAUACAAAUCUUACAAAGAUGACAGCAAAAAUGUAUUUGUCUUUUACACGGCUUAUGGUGGAUGAGGACAAAAACUUUGGAAUAGCAAGCUAACACUGAAAAAAAAAAUGACAAAUUAAUGUGUCCUAUUAUCCAGGCUACAUCAGGAGGUUGGACUUCAAUGCAGUGCAUUUCUAGAAACAGUUUGUUAAGCAUAAAAGUAGAGAGCAAGAUCAUUCUCGAUCUUCAUCAUCUUCAGCAUCACCUUCUUCUCCCAGUUCUCGUGAAGAAAAGGAGAGUAAGAAAGAACGAGAAGAAGAAUUUAAAACUCACCAUGAGCUGAAAGAAUACUCAGGCUUUGCAGGAGUUAGCCGACCACGAGGAACCUUUUUUCGAAUUAGAGGCAGAGGAAGAGCCAGAGGAGUUUUUGCUGGGACAAAUACUGGUCCAAACAACUCAAAUACUACUUUUCAAAAGAGACCGAAGGAAGAGGAAUGGGAUCCAGAAUAUACCCCAAAGAGCAAGAAGUACUUCUUGCAUGAUGACAGAGAUGAUGGUGUGGAUUAUUGGGCCAAAAGAGGAAGAGGCCGUGGUACUUUUCAACGUGGCAGAGGGCGCUUUAACUUCAAAAAAUCAGGUAGCAGUCCAAAAUGGACUCAUGACAAAUACCAAGGGGACGGGAUUGUUGAAGAUGAAGAAGAGACCAUGGAAAAUAAUGAAGAAAAGAAGGACAGACGUAAAGAAGAAAAGGAAUAAUACAUCUGGAGUGAGAUUGCUACAGAGAGCAGAACUUGCACCCACCUUUUUUUUUUUUUUUUUACCUGAUUUUUGUUUUCAAAUAAGAAUGUAAGCAUUUUACUUAAAUUUUACUGUUUGCAAGUAGCCUAUAGAAAUUUUGUUUUAAGUCCUCAAAUAUCUUGAAAAUAGUAGACUGUAUGUUGAAAAUUGUACUGAAAUAAAGUAGAAAAUUGUUACGUACCAUAUUUGUAACUAUCAACUUUUAAAAAAAUUCUUUUACUGUUUUUGUUACAUGCAAUGUAAUUCUGCUUUGUCUAUAAGAUAUGGUCAAGUACAGCUUUGUGAAAGUUCUGAUUCUCUUCCUCUUCCCUCCCUGUUUGUUAAUGUUUAUUCUGAAGUAAACGUUAGCUCUACAUACAAAUCCCUGAACAGAAGUUGUUUAUAGAGACCACACUAAUUAUUUUAACUGAAUGCAUCUGUUUUAACAUUUUCUUUAAUUCAAACACACUACAUUGUAGGGUGACUAAUUUUUGAAGUAUACCAAAGCAAAAAGUUGUUACUUUGGUAAAUAAACUGAGGUAGUUUAAUGUUUCAGCAAAUGUUUAAGAGGGAAAAAAAUUAUUAAUGGCUAAAACAGUAUGACAUACUAAAAGUUAGAUUGAAAUGUUUGAGAGGCUCCCCCCUCUCCCUCCAGUACUGAAAGCAAGCAUUGGUGUAGAUAAACCAUUUAUAGGAACCUUUACUAUUUGGGUUCAAAGUUCAGUGUUCUUUUUAUACUCUAAAGUUUGAGUCAUGGUCUUAGCUAGGUAUCAGCUAUUUUUUGAGAGGAAAUUGGUUUCUAAAAUCCCAUUCCUUCUGAAUAUCUUAAAUCACAAACAAAAUCUGUAAUCCUGAUGUUGGUAUGAAGGAGGAAUAUUCUCCAGAAAAUCUUGAUACAUUAAAAGAAUGUACCUGAAUUCAUAUCUUAGAUAUUUAUUUCAGUUUGACAGCUAAAACGUUAGUUGUAGUCUAACCAUAAGUAAAAAAAAUAACCAGUACACUGUUCAUUAGUAGUAUUUUAAGCAAUUUUUUGUUUUUACAAAGUCAUCAAUAAAGUUCUGACAGGAAGUUUUGCAGCAUUGAUUGAGCUUUUUUUCCCCCCUUAAUUUCAGUAGAAGUUUGAAAAAUGCCCUUCUUCCCAAGGUUUCUAUUAUCCAGGUAAAUAAUAAUUACAGUGUGAAUUACCUUUGUGUUUAUGCUGGUAACUCUUUAAGAAUGAAAAUCUGAAGUGAAUUUCAGUGUUAGUCUGUUCAUAAAUAAUCACAUUUCUUUGUUAAUUCAGCAAUUGAAUUGUAUAUGUUUGCAUUAAAAGGAGAUAAUGCUUACUCUGUUAGUGUAAACUUUUAAAAACCUUACAUCUUUGAUUCUUUCAUCCUUCACUUGAUGAUUUGCAGUGCUUCUGUAGCACCUUGAUUGCAGUCCCGAGGCAUUAAGCUGAUAGUUACUGGAGGGGAGAGGUGGGAGAAAGGAAAACAAUGACCAUUGGUCCUACCAUGUUUUAGUAUUGCAUGAUUUCUUAUGUUAAUGCCUUUCAGAAAUUAUUUUUUAGAACAGAGGAAAUAGUGUCAAAGCAAGUAUGUGUUGCAUUAAUCAAGACAAUAUUCCCUUAGAGAGAAUAAUAAUUACACAGCAACAUGCAUUUGAUUUCCAGCUCAGGAGGAUUUUGGGGGAAUAUUUUAUUUCAUACAACUAAAUUUAACCUUUAUUUUGGUAGUAAUUUGGUUAGACAAUAAAUCUGUGCUCACUUAACGUACAAUUUUGCUUUUUUUACUUAAGACAAUAGGAAAGGGAUUUGUUGAGAAAUCAUUUAAUAGGGAGUGGGAAUAAAGUCAGCUAAGACCUGUUAGCAAGUUUUAUUUGAUGUGCAAAUGCACUGCUUUGAUCCAACUAUAUCCAUGAUUUGAUUACUUUUUACUGUCUUUAACAAAAUUUAGGAAAGCCUGUCAUACCAGAACAUAACAUAGGAGGGAUGAUUGUGAGAACUCUGCAAUAGAAUGCCAUUUGAAUGUCACCUUUUUUACAGAGCCAAGCAUUUAAAAAGUAGCCAGUGUGUAUUUCUAAACCACAACUUCACAUUUCAUGACAUGUCAUAAAAGCUGAAAAAUCUUAAGUUUUUAACUAUUUUAAAAGACUUGUGUAGAGGAGGAAAGUAAAAAUAAACCAAAGGAUAUUUUCAAAAUAUCCUUUAAGGAUGUUUCCAAAGGCCAUGACUUCAGUACUUAGGUGUGUGUACCUUUCAACAGUCUAGGGAUUUUAAUAUAAAAAGCAAAGUAUCUUUUUCCCAUUGUAACCUUCUUUAAGGAGUUAAUUUCUUUUGUCACAGUUAAAAUCAAGUGUUGGGAAUUAAAUUGAAAUAAUUGAAAAAAUAUAACCCAAUAAGAAAGAAUGUAGAUGGCUAAACGAUUCUUACUCAGUGUGAUGUAUAAUGCAACAGGGACUCUUGUAAAUUGUCACAUGCCAAUAAACUGUCAUAAGUGGUAA